UACGUAGGGUCCGAGCGUUGUCCGGAAUUAUUGGGCGUAAAGGGCUCGUAGGCGGUUCGUCACGCGGGGAGUGAAAACUCGGGAAGCCUUGAACUCCGAGGCCUGCUUCCCGAAUACGGGCAGACUAGAGGUAAGGCAGGGGGAGAGCGGAACUCCCUGGUGUAGCGGUGGGAAAUGCGCAGAUAGUCAGGAAGAACGACCGGUGGCGAAGGCGGCUCUCUGGGCCUUACCUGACGCUGGAGGAGCGAAAGCCGUGGGUAGCGAACGG
rnacentral:rRNA from 1 species